GUUGGCGUGCUAUAAAAUUGAAUUUGAGUGAUAGGCCAAUGCUAAGUGUUCCAUGUCGUUGGAUAGUCGGUUCGAGGGCAAGGAAGGAAGUUAUCAUUUUUAAGCCUGCGAGCUAGUAAUUCCUCUCCUCGAUAAAAUGGGCAUACCUUUUGAUUUCCUUCGCUUCGUAAAGUAAACGACAAUGGAAAGAGUGAAAAAAAGAGUGGAAGUUGCCCCUCUUAGGGUUCCAAUUUGAGUUUGAGGUUACAUUGGAGUCUCUUACUAGUCCAUUUAGAAUCCUUUUUAGCCAGUUUCCU
rnacentral:misc_RNA from 1 species